AAAGGAUACGUGGCACCUCGGGUAGACCCCACCCGUUGUUAUCUAUACUCUUGUUGCUUUGGCAGGCCGUGCCUCCCACCGGGCUUCUGCUGGUCAGUGCCCUGCCAGAGGACCUAAACUCUGAAUUUUAGUGAUUGUCUGAGUACUAUAUAAUAGUUA
rnacentral:misc_RNA from 1 species